UGCGUCUUUAGCUCAGAUGGAUAGAGCAACGCCCUUCUAAGGCGUGGGCCAGGGGUUCGAAUCCCUUAAGACGCACCAA
rnacentral:tRNA from 7 species